CCUACGGGGGGCAGCAGUGGGGAAUAUUGGACAAUGGGGGCAACCCUGAUCCAGCCAUGCCGCGUGUGUGAAGAAGGCCCUCGGGUUGUAAAGCACUUUCAGUGAGGAAGAACGCCUGGUGGUUAAUACCCAUCAGGAAAGACAUCACUCACAGAAGAAGCACCGGCUAACUCCGUGCCAGCAGCCGCGGUAAUACGGAGGGUGCGAGCGUUAAUCGGAAUUACUGGGCGUAAAGCGCGCGUAGGUGGCUUGAUAAGCCGGUUGUGAAAGCCCCGGGCUCAACCUGGGAAUGGCAUCCGGAACUGUCAAGCUAGAGUGCAGGAGAGGAAGGUAGAAUUCCCGGUGUAGCGGUGAAAUGCGUAGAGAUCGGGAGGAAUACCAGUGGCGAAGGCGGCCUUCUGGACUGACACUGACACUGAGGUGCGAAAGCGUGGGUAGCAAACAGGAUUAGAUACCCCAGUAGUC
rnacentral:rRNA from 1 species